UUGAACGCUGGCGGCAGGCCUAACACAUGCAAGUCGAACGGUAACAGGGAUCAGCUUGCUGAUUCGCUGACGAGUGGCGGCCGGGUGAGUAAUGUCUGGGAAACUGCCUGAUGGAGGGGGAUAACUACUGGAAACGGUAGCUAAUACCGCAUAACGUCGCAAGACCAAAGAGGGGGACCUUCGGGCCUCUUGCCAUCGGAUGUGCCCAGAUGGGAUUAGCUAGUAGGUGGGGUAACGGCUCACCUAGGCGACGAUCCCUAGCUGGUCUGAGAGGAUGACCAGCCACACUGGAACUGAGACACGGUCCAGACUCCUACGGGAGGCAGCAGUGGGGAAUAUUGCACAAUGGGCGCAAGCCUGAUGCAGCCAUGCCGCGUGUAUGAAGAAGGCCUUCGGGUUGUAAAGUACUUUCAGCGGGGAGGAAGGGAGUAAAGUUAAUACCUUUGCUCAUUGACGUUACCCGCAGAAGAAGCACCGGCUAACUCCGUG
rnacentral:rRNA from 1 species